AUUGAACGCUGGCGGCAUGCUUUACACAUGCAAGUCGAACGGUAACAGGCCGCAAGGUGCUGACGAGUGGCGAACGGGUGAGUGAUGCAUCGGAACGUGCCCAGUCGUGGGGGAUAACUACUCGAAAGAGUAGCUAAUACCGCAUACGAUCUAUGGAUGAAAGCGGGGGACCGUAAGGCCUCGCGCGAUUGGAGCGGCCGAUGUCAGAUUAGGUAGUUGGUGGGGUAAAGGCUCACCAAGCCAACGAUCUGUAGCUGGUCUGAGAGGACGACCAGCCACACUGGGACUGAGACACGGCCCAGACUCCCACGGGAGGCAGCAGUGGGGAAUUUUGGACAAUGGGCGCAAGCCUGAUCCAGCAAUGCCGCGUGCAGGAAGAAGGCCUUCGGGUUGUAAACUGCUUUUGUACGGAACGAAACGGCUCUGGUUAAUACCCGGGGCUAAUGACGGUACCGUAAGAAUAAGCACCGGCUAACUACGUG
rnacentral:rRNA from 1 species